GACGAACGCUGGCGGCGUGCCUAAUACAUGCAAGUUGAGCGCUGAAGGUUUGUUCUUGUACCAACUGGAUGAGCAGCGAACGGGUGAGUAACGCGUGGGGAAUCUGCCUUUGAGCGGGGGACAACAUUUGGAAACGAAUGCUAAUACCGCAUAAAAACUUUAAACACAAGUUUUAAGUUUGAAAGAUGCAAUUGCAUCACUCAAAGAUGAUCCCGCGUUGUAUUAGCUAGUUGGUGAGGUAAAGGCUCACCAAGGCGAUGAUACAUAGCCGACCUGAGAGGGUGAUCAGCCACAAUGGGACUGGGACACGGCCCAAACUCCUACGGGAAGCAGCAGUAGGGAAUCUUCGGCAAUGGACGAAAGUCUGACCGAAAAACGCCGCGGGAGUGAAGAAGGUUGUCGGGUCGUAAAACUCUGUUGGUAGGGAAGAACGUUGGUGAGAGUGGAAAGCUCAUCAAGUGACGGUAACUACCCAGAAAGGAACGGCUAACUACGUG
rnacentral:rRNA from 1 species